AAAAGAGAAAACUAAAGAAGGGAAAAAAAACCACACAAAGAUCCAAAUGAAAACCUUGCAAAACAUUCCUCCCCUCCACCACCCAACUCCAACAAACCACAGUGAGACACAAUCUGGACCCCAAUCAGGUUUCCACCCUUCAAACAACCGAUACUCAGUCCAUCGAGGGAACAGAGUCUCUCCUGUGCCACAGACCCUCCAAGAAAACACAGCUGCCACAUCCUGUGUUUCCAUGUCACACAUGGCACCGCCCGGAGAAAAAGUUUGCCAUGGUGACCCUUCUCCUUUCCAUGCACAGUGCUCUCACCACCAAUGCAUGGAUGGUCAGACUGCCUUUAGGAUUUUUCCUUUCAAGGAUGCCCUGCCAAGAGGGGAGAAAACAACAGUUCAGUUUUUCAUUGUUUGGGACCACAGUCCCCCCCCCAUUUUCCCCUGGGGCCGAGGGCUCAAGAACAGAGAUCUUCUUCUCUUCUCUUUCCUUUCCAGGGCAAGGGGGCGCCACCACAAACCCCCUAACCUUUUCUCUGUUCACUCCACCCUUGUCUUCCCCCCAGACGAAGCAGGUCUCCCGCCUCACCGGCAUCCUCCCAAAACACAGUCCCUCUUGAAGGAGAAGAUUUGGUUCAGGUUGUGGCUAACAUGGAAAAGUCCAGCCAAAAGCCACUCCUUGUCCUCCUCCCAUCCAGAAUUCCUCCUUCCAACAUCCCAUCCCAGGGUCCAAGGUGUCCCUCUUCUUCUCUUUCAAACCGAGGAGGGGAAAGGAAAAUUCACAAAGCUUUCAUUUCUCAAGGAAGGGUUAAAAGUCCGAACUCCCAGGAUGGCUCGAUGCCCGGACAUCCAGCAACUCCCACACAACUGGGCACCUUGCAGCAGCUCCCCCCGCUCCUCCUUCCUUGCGGCUUUCUCUCUCCCUCUCGGGAGAGGAAGCUGGUGGGGGGGGAAAUGGAGACAUCCCAGAUUUCUUCCACCCUUCCAUCUGCAGGGGCCAGCCCGGUUCCAGUCCCUCCACCCUUCGGAGUUACCUCCAUCAGGCCAUGGGGCUUCACCUCCCCCACCCAGCUCGUGGCUGGGCAGGGGAGGUUUGCACUGCACGCUGACCGGAACCAAAGAGAGCGAGUUCCCCUGGGAAUUCUGCUUUCAACCCCUCUGUGUUCUCAGAGGCGUGUCUACUUUCAAUUGGUCAAUAUCUAAAUUGACCUCUUCCUUCCGGAAAAAAUUAUCUUUCUGUGUCAAACC
rnacentral:lncRNA from 1 species